AUUGAACGCUGGCGGCAGGCUUAACACAUGCAAGUCGAGCGGGGAAAGGUAGCUUGCUACCUAACCUAGCGGCGGACGGGUGAGUAAUGCUUAGGAAUCUGCCUAUUAGUGGGGGACAACAUUCCGAAAGGAAUGCUAAUACCGCAUACGCCCUACGGGGGAAAGCAGGGGAUCUUCGGACCUUGCGCUAAUAGAUGAGCCUAAGUCAGAUUAGCUAGUUGGUGGGGUAAAGGCCUACCAAGGCGACGAUCUGUAGCGGGUCUGAGAGGAUGAUCCGCCACACUGGGACUGAGACACGGCCCAGACUCCUACGGGAGGCAGCAGUGGGGAAUAUUGGACAAUGGGCGAAAGCCUGAUCCAGCCAUGCCGCGUGUGUGAAGAAGGCCUUUUGGUUGUAAAGCACUUUAAGCGAGGAAGAGGCUACUUGGAUUAAUACUCUAGGAUAGUGGACGUUACUCGCAGAAUAAGCACCGGCUAACUCUGUGCCAGCCGCCGCGGUAA
rnacentral:rRNA from 1 species